rnacentral:tRNA from 1 species
GAUUCCAUAGUGUAGUGGUUAGCAUGUCUGCUUUACAUGCAGAAGAUCCUGGGUUCGCACCCCUGUGGAGCCA